rnacentral:rRNA from 1 species
GCGAACGCUGGCGGCAGGCCUAACACAUGCAAGUCGAACGAACUCUUCGGAGUUAGUGGCGGACGGGUGAGUAACACGUGGGAACGUGCCUUUAGGUUCGGAAUAACUCAGGGAAACUUGUGCUAAUACCGAAUGUGCCCUUCGGGGGAAAGAUUUAUCGCCUUUAGAGCGGCCCGCGUCUGAUUAGCUUGUUGGUGGGGUAAUGGCCCACCAAGGCUACGAUCAGUAGCUGGUCUGAGAGGAUGACCAGCCACAUUGGGACUGAGACACGGCCCAAACUCCUACGGGAGGCAGCAGUGGGGAAUCUUGCGCAAUGGGCGAAAGCCUGACGCAGCCAUGCCGCGUGUAUGAUGAAGGUCUUAGGAUUGUAAAAUACUUUCACCGGUGAAGAUAAUGACUGUAGCCGGAGAAGAAGCCCCGGCUAACUUCGU